rnacentral:rRNA from 1 species
GCCUAGUGGCGCACGGGUGCGUAACGCGUGGGAAUCUGCCCUUGGGUUCGGGAUAACAGUUGGAAACGACUGCUAAUACCGGAUGAUGACUUCGGUCCAAAGAUUUAUCGCCCAGGGAUGAGCCCGCGUAGGAUUAGCUAGUUGGUGAGGUAAAGGCUCACCAAGGCGACGAUCCUUAGCUGGUCUGAGAGGAUGAUCAGCCACACUGGGACUGAGACACGGCCCAGACUCCUACGGGAGGCAGCAGUGGGGAAUAUUGGACAAUGGGCGAAAGCCUGAUCCAGCAAUGCCGCGUGAGUGAUGAAGGCCUUAGGGUUGUAAAGCUCUUUUACCCGGGAUGAUAAUGACAGUACCGGGAGAAUAAGCUCCGGCUAACUCCGUGCCAGCAGCCGCGGUAAUACGGAGGGAGCUAGCGUUAUUCGGAAUUACUGGGCGUAAAGCGCACGUAGGCGGCUUUGUAAGUAAGAGGUGAAAGCCUGGUGCUCAACACCAGAACUGCCUUUUAGA